GAUGAACGCUAGCGGCAGGCCUAACACAUGCAAGUCGAGGGGUAACGUGAGUGCUUGCACUUGACGACGACCGGCGCACGGGUGCGGAACGCGUAUGGAACCUACCUUUAUCAGGGAGAUAGCCCAUGGAAACGUGGAUUAAUAUCCCAUAGUAUUAUUUUAUCGCCUGAUAGAAUAAUUAAAGAAUUUCGGAUAGAGAUGGCCAUGCGUAUCAUUAGCUAGUAGGCGAGGUAACGGCUCACCUAGGCGACGAUGAUUAGGGGUCCUGAGAGGGAGAUCCCCCACACUGGUACUGAGACACGGACCAGACUCCUACGGGAGGCAGCAGUGAGGAAUAUUGGGCAAUGGAGGCAACUCUGACCCAGCCAUGCCGCGUGCAGGAAGACGGCCCUACGGGUUGUAAACUGCUUUUAUACAGGAAGAACACCACCCACGUGUGGGUGACUGACGGUACUGUAAGAAUAAGGACCGGCUAACUCCGUGCCAA
rnacentral:rRNA from 1 species